CCCUGCAGAUUAGCGGCGGAGGGUGAGUACACGUGGGUAACCUGCCUGUAAGACUGGGAUAACUCCGGGAAACCGGAGCUAAUACCGGAUAGUUCCUUGAACCGCAUGGUUCAAGGAUGAAAGACGGUUUCGGCUGUCACUUACAGAUGGACCCGCGGCGCAUUAGCUAGUUGGUGAGGUAACGGCUCACCAAGGCGACGAUGCGUAGCCGACCUGAGAGGGUGAUCGGCCACACUGGGACUGAGACACGGCCCAGACUCCUACGGGAGGCAGCAGUAGGGAAUCUUCCGCAAUGGACGAAAGUCUGACGGAGCAACGCCGCGUGAGUGAUGAAGGUUUUCGGAUCGUAAAGCUCUGUUGUUAGGGAAGAACAAGUGCAAGAGUAACUGCUUGCACCUUGACGGUACCUAACCAGAAAGCCACGGCUAACUACGUGCCAGCAGCCGCGGUAAUACGUAGGUGGCAAGCGUUGUCCGGAAUUAUUGGGCGUAAAGGGCUCGCAGGCGGUUUCUUAAGUCUGAUGUGAAAGCCCCCGGCUCAACCGGGGAGGGUCAUUG
rnacentral:rRNA from 1 species